CUACGGGGUGCUGCAGUGGGGAAUAUUGGACAAUGGGGGAAACCCUGAUCCAGCAAUGCUGCGUGUGUGAAGAAGGCCUGCGGGUUGUAAAGCACUUUCGGUUGGGAGGACUGCUUCUAGCACUAAUAUUGUUGGAAGUUGACGUUACCUUCAGAAGAAGCACCGGCUAACUCCGUGCCAGCAGCCUCGGUAAUACGGAGGGUGCAAGCGUUAAUCGGAAUUACUGGGCGUAAAGCGCGCGUAGGCGGCUAGAUCAGUCGGGUGUGAAAGCCCCGGGCUUAACCUGGGAACUGCAUCCGAUACUGUCUAGCUUGAGUACAGGAGAGGAGAGUGGAAUUCCACAUGUAGCGGUGAAAUGCGUAGAUAUGUGGAGGAACACCAAUGGCGAAGGCAGCUCUCUGGCCUGAUACUGACGCUGAGGUGCGAAAGCGUGGGGAGCAAACAGGAUUAGAUACCCCAGUAGUC
rnacentral:rRNA from 1 species